AUACGUAGGGGGCGAGCGUUGUCCGGAAUUAUUGGGCGUAAAGGGUGCGUAGGCGGCUGAAUAAGUCAGAUGUGAAAGGUUAAGGCUUAACUUUAAUAAGCAUAUGAAACUGUUCAGCUUGAGUUAAGGAGAGGGGAGUGGAAUUCCUAGUGUAGCGGUGAAAUGCGUAGAUAUUAGGAGGAAUACCAGUGGCGAAGGCGACUCUCUGGACUUAAACUGACGCUGAGGCACGAAAGCGUGGGGAGCAAACAGGAUUAGAUACCCUGGUAGUCCACGCCGUAAACGAUGAGUGCUAGGUGUUGGGUGUCAAAGCUCAGUGCCGCAGCUAACGCAAUAAGCACUCCGCCUGGGGAGUACGAUGGCAACAUUGAA
rnacentral:rRNA from 1 species